rnacentral:rRNA from 1 species
AACGGCCGUACCAUGCUGAAUAUACCGGUUUUCGUUAGAUCACCGAAGUCAAGCAUCAUUGGGCGCGGUCAGUACUUGGGUGGGUGACCACCUGGGAACACCGCGUGCCGUU